GAUGAACGCUGGCGGCGUGCCUAAUACAUGCAAGUCGAGCGAACGGACGAGAAGCUUGCUUCUCUGAUGUUAGCGGCGGACGGGUGAGUAACACGUGGAUAACCUACCUAUAAGACUGGGAUAACUUCGGGAAACCGUAGCUAAUACCGGAUAAUAUUUUGAACCGCAUGGUUCGAAAGUGAAAGACGGUCUUGCUGUCACUUAUAGAUGGAUCCGCGCUGCAUUAGCUAGUUGGUAAGGUAACGGCUUACCAAGGCAACGAUGCAUAGCCGACCUGAGAGGGUGAUCGGCCACACUGGAACUGAGACACGGUCCAGACUCCUACGGGAGGCAGCAGUAGGGAAUCUUCCGCAAUGGGCGAAAGCCUGACGGAGCAACGCCGCGUGAGUGGUGAAGGUCUUCGGAUCGUAAAACUCUGUUAUUAGGGAAGAACAUAUGUGUAAGUAACUGUGCACAUCUUGACGGUACCUAAUCAGAAAGCCACGGCUAACUACGUG
rnacentral:rRNA from 1 species